UACAGAGGUCUCAAGCGUUUGUUCGGAAUUACUGGGCGUAAAGGGUGCGCAGGCCGCGCGGGCAGUCAAAUGUGUAAUCCAGGGGCUCAACCCCUGAACUGCGCUUGAUACUUCCGCGCUCGAGCUUUGGGAGAGGAGGUCUGGAAUUUCUCGGUGUAGCAGUGAAAUGCGUGGAUAUCGAGAAGAACACUUAGGGCGUAGGCAAGACUCUGGACGAAAUGCUGACGUCGAUGACACGAGGCUAGGGUAGCGAACGG
rnacentral:rRNA from 1 species